CCUCACCCCACUGGAAGAAAUGCCCUGCGUAAACAAGGGUUGAUAAUGCACGGGAAGGGGCAGUUAUGUCUGGGACGUUUAACAUAGCUGUUGGACUGCCGAGUUAGACUUGCACAAUGACAAUAUUCCAGGGUUGAGUGAAGACCCAAUGAGAUGGCAUCUGAUGUGGACCUGUUGCUCUGCUAGGCAAAUUGGAGUGGAUCCAAAUCAAACCAGCCUCUCAAAACACUUCAUAGCUGUUGAUCUUUGUCAUCACCGAGGACCCAUUAUCAAUCAACAUUACCGGGGGUCAAGAGAAGGAGAGAGAGUGAGAAUGAUGAGAAGCCAAAACAUACCAACCCUCUAAAUCCUGUGCAGAUAAAAGUGGACUGUACUUGGAUAUUCAAAAAUAAAUUUCUCCUUUACUCAGAA